rnacentral:lncRNA from 1 species
UCCUUUGGGGCAAACCGGUGAUGGAACAAAGGAAGGAGGGUGCAAACUACCUGAUAGAAAAGCAUAUUUAUAUGUUAUUGGUAAGCAGCAAAACACACCUAAUUUUAUUCUAUGUACAUUUUUUUUUCCAAAUCUAAUGUGUUCAUUAAAUAUAUGUUACUGAUAUUAGUUUGGGGAACAUUCCAAAAAUUGGGUUCAAUAUAUUUUGGUUGCAGGAGCAAUACUUUUUCUUGUUAAUGUGUGGAUAAUUUACUCCUUAUACCAAAAGAGGAAACAUACCAAAUUGAAAGGGAAAUUCUUUAGGAAGAAUGGAGGUUCUAUUUUGGAACAGAAACUUCUCCAAAGAAAAGACUCGUCGUCUAAAAUAGCUAAUAUUUUCAAAGAAAGGGAGCUAAGGAAAGCCACUAACAACUAUGAUGAGAGCUUAAUCAUAGGUAGAGGAAGUUUUGGUACAGUUUUCAAAGGGGAACUAGAAGAUAAUAGAAUUGUUGCUAUCAAAAUGUCGAAAACAAUAGAUGAAAGCCAAAUUGAGCAAUUCAUUAAUGAGGUGGAUGUUGUCUCCCAAAUAAAUCACAGGAAUGUGGUUAAACUCUUGGGGUGUUGUCUAGAAACAGAAGUUCCUUUGUUGGUUUACGAAUUCGUCAGCAAUGGUACUCUUUCUGAUUUUAUACACAAAGAUAAAUUGAAUAAUCCAACUUGGAAGAUUCGUCUUAAGAUAGCAACAGAGGUAGCUGGAGCUUUGUCAUAUCUACAUUCAGCUGCUUCAAUACCCAUUAUCCACAGAGAUGUCAAGAGUGCUAACAUUCUCUUAGAUGGAACCAACACUGCCAAAGUAUCUGAUUUUGGAGCUUCAAAAUUAGUACCACUUGACCAAUCUGAAAUAGCCACAAUGGUGAAAGGAACUAUUGGCUACUUAGAUCCAGAGUAUAUGCUAACAAACCAAUUGACCGAAAAAAGUGAUGUUUAUAGCUUUGGGGUAGUUGUUGUGGAGUUGCUGACAGGGGAGAGACCUUUUAGUUUUGGUAGGCCAGAAGAGAGAAGAAAUCUUGCUACAUAUUUUCUGUCCUGCUUCAAAAAGGAUAAUGUGUUUGAAAUUAUUGAAGAUGGUAUGUUGAAUGAAGAAAACAAACAAGAGAUCAAGGAGGUAACUGAUCUUGCAGCAAAGUGUUUGAGACUAAGAGGGGAGGAAAGACCAAGCAUGAAGGAAGUGGCUAUGGAAUUGGAAACAAUGAUCUUAAAUGUAGAGGGGAAUCGAUAGCUUAAAAGUUCAGGUAUUGAUUGACUUGGAUGAUGGAAGAUGAUUGGGAUGUGACAAAAUGCAGUUCCAUUUCGUUGUUUUAGAAGUUUUUUCAUGCAUAUUUCAUUUCAUAUGAAUAAUCCAAAUCAUUUUGUAAUUGUAAUGUAAUGUGUUUAUAUAAUUAAUGUGUUAUGUGUUUUUAUCUUAGUUGUUGUUUAAGUAGAGAUGGAAGUGUUUUAUUAUUGUAAGGAAUAGUUGUUUUCAAGCACAUCAAUUUUAAGGGAGGUUUUCAGUCCAACAAUGGUAAGUAAAGUGAAGUGUAAGUGUACUAUUGUAUACAAAAGUUUGAUAUCACCUUGGUAAUCAAAUCAUGUGAUAGAAUAAUCAAAGGAAGAGAAAGCAAAAUAAAUAACUGUAAUUUAGCAAAGAAGAAAUUUUCUAAUAAGAAUAUCAUUCUUUAAAUUCUAUGGCCAAACAAUGAUCAUACAGUAAUAAUGACUUUAGAAGAAUGGUCAAUACCUUGUGUGAUAAAUAUUAUGAUGUAUCAUUGAAAUAUUUCCAUGUCAUAAAUCCUUCAAAAAUCUUGAACAUGAGAUUCCAGUCAUUUAUUAUAAAUAUCUUGACUAACCGGACUAAGAUUAAUGUAGUAAAGAAGUCCAAUCAUGAAAUAUUUUUGGCUAAAUUGCACAUUUAGCUCCUUAAUUUAUUUUGUGGUUUGACUUUGGUCCAUAACUAUUUUUUGUCCCAUUUUUCUUCCAUUUCUUCAAUUAAAAUUGAAUAAACCAUUAAUUUAGUCCCUAUAUUGUCACACUCUCUCCAAUUUAGUCCCUAAAAUAUCUAAAUAUAAUAAGUAGUCCUUAAACUAUAUGAAAUUCGUCGAUUCAAUCCCUUAAGUAUAUAAAAAAACCAGCAACUUAGUNNNNNNNNNNNNNNNNNNNNNNNNNNNNNNNNNNNNNNNNNNNNNNNNNNNNNNNUAUAUACUCUAGGGACUACUUAUUAAGUUAUUAUAUAUUGACAUAGUUUAUGUACUAAAUUGAAGUCAAUGUGAUAGUUUAAUUACUAAAUUGAUGAUUUCAUGAUACUAAAUGAGACUAAAACGGAACAAAAAAUAAGAUAUAAGCGAAUUGAGCUAUAGAUAUCUAAGCAAUUAUUCUUCAGCACAUGUUGCAUAAUGUCAACGCAGUAUCCUUAAACUGAUAAAAAGGACUUGUACAGUAUUAAUUAUAAGUUAUUUGAAAUUUAUAACAAAGUAAUAUGAAUGAUCAAUAACAAUAAGCUAGUAAUUAAAAUCAAUAUAAGAUUGGAUAAUCUACUGGAAUGCAAUAUAAGAUUGGAUGAUCUAGUGGAAUAAAUCAAUCAUUUCAAUGAAUACAUUUAUGAUUGAAAUUGAGAGUGGAUGUGUAGGUAACCCUAACCUGCUUCGCUGAAGUGAUACACAAAUUAUGCAUCGAGAGAUACAUGAAGGAUGAUAUCUUCAACUUAGAAGUAAGUAAAUCGGUGACUGCAUUGGAUAAAUUUCAAAGAUCGUGAAAAAAUCAAUGAACGAAAGAAAAGCGAUGGAACAAGAGUGAAAAUGUUGCGGUAACGUAACUUCCAAAAGGUACUUUUUAUGCUGGCCGUUGGAAAUUGUACUUUCAUUUCUUCUCCCACACUCCUCCUCAAUUGUUACAAAAAUGAAGCAACAUUUUGAUGUCUAGAAGGCAUGAAAUCAACAUUUCUUCCCCAACCAUAUUUCGGGAGAGGAGCGUUUGCCACAGCUCUCUACGUCUGGAACCGUGUGUUGCACUCUGCCUACCAAUCUUUCUCUCCCAAAAUUGUCAGCCAUUCCUAAAAACAACAAGGAAUUCAACAUUAACUUCAUUCAUGCAUUUUUUCAAACACUUGGUGCACAUAUACAACAAUGAAAUUCCUAAACACUAAUUCAAUUACACACUUCACAAAUUCAACCCAACAACUAUCACAUUACACAAACAAUGCAACAAUAACUUUGUGUUUGAGUUCUGUGCUUUAUGAUGUUUUUGUAAUUUUUAAGUUAGAUCUACAUAAUUUUAAGUGUCAGAUAUGCUAAUUUUUUCUCUUCAUCUUCAUGAAUUCUAGAAUUUUUUAUUUAAUUUUUCGGAUUUGUGAAUUUUGUUGAACUUUUGAGUCUUGGCAACCCGUUUCCACUGACCCGACCAACCCGAAAAAAAACUGAAAACCAAUCAAACCAAAUAAAUAAAUUGUCGAGAUUGGGCCAUAAUCCACCACCCACGGUUUGGACUAGAUUGAGGGUUUGGUCCUGAACCAAAAUUGACCCGGUCCCCAUAAAAUGAAGAGACUCCCCGUUGAUACAAGAUACUUCAAGUGGAGAGACACUAGUGACAUGUUUACUAUAAAAAAAAUUGCACAUUGGCUGAGAGAUGUAACGCCACUUGCUCUAAAGAGCCAAGUCGAAUAAAUUCAAAAUUUCACUCCAAGAGCCAAAUUGAUCCACCACAUAUUAAAAAUUCAAUCAACGCCUUUAUGUUUCGCCUUGAGUCACCAAAAUGACAAUAUUAUAGUACAUUUUACCCUAAUUAUUUUAUAGGAAAAAGGACACAAUGUCACCGUUGAACAAAAAAGAAAAAAGGACACUUCAUCAUAGGUCAGUGUCAAAAAAUUAUCAGAAACUUUAGUAACGAGACGGUUCCUCAACAGAAAUUAAUCAUCGAUAACAACGGUGGAAACUUUGUAUCUAUAACUAUAUCAUAAUAACCCAAAAAAUAAACAAUUGAGUCACACAUAAUGCCAUUUUCCACAAUUAUUAUAAAAAAAAUACAAAUACUCACAAUAGAAAAACAAAUUAAAAUAUGAUAAUAUAUACACACACCAAAACUCAAUAGAAAAAUUUGUGAUUCAAUUCUUAUGCCACAAUAUAUUACUCAAAUUCUAAAAGGCCUGUUAUAUGCCCACUACUUAAUUUGUGAUUCAAUUCAAGACAAUGAAACUGAAGGCAAUGCAGCUUCCAUUAAUAACGGUUGCUGCAUUAUCCAUGUUGGUAAAAGCAGUUGCAUCUGAUGAACCCCAACAAGUCCUACCAGGCUGCAAUUACACUUGUGGAGAUAUACAAAUUCCAUAUCCAUUUGGCAUAGGAAAUUCAACAACACUAGAUCAUACACCAUGUUACAUGGAUUCUAAAUAUGAGCUCACUUGUAAAAAGUCAAAAUUAAUCUAUGAUAAGACUAUCCAAGUCCUACACAUAAAUCCCCAAAGUCAAAUGGUAAUGAAAUUUUUCGUCUCACAUCUCUGUACUAGUGGCAGUAUUAGUAAUAGUACAAUUAAUUUCGAUGAAGCGAAUAAACCUCGUAUCAAAGUUUCUUCUUUCACAAUUUCAAGCACGGAAAACAAAUUCAUAACCGUUGGUUGCGACAGUAGUGGAUAUCUCAACAUGAAUUUCAAGGGUGAAACAUAUACAACAGGGUGCUCAACAAGCUGUCAUAAUUAUGAUCCUAAAAUGGUAAUUGGGAAUAACACUGGAAAAUGCACAGGUUUAGGGUGUUGCCAAGUUGAUAUUCCUCCGCUUAUGAGAUAUCUCACUAUACAAACAUUUAAAUUCCCAAGUUCUACAUCUCAGAAAGGUUGUAGCUAUUCCUUUAUUGCAAAACAAGGAUCCUAUAAUUUUUCUGUACAGCAUAUAAAUAAUCUAACAGAUCAAACUUUUCCCAUGGUUGUUAAUUGGGCCGUUACAAAUGAAUCAUGUCAAAUAGCACAAACUACAGGUAGCUAUGCCUGCAAGGAAAAUAGUGAAUGCGUUGAUAAUGAUCCAGAUUAUGACGGUUACAGAUGCAAGUGUUUGGAGGGUUUUGAAGGAAAUCCAUACCUUCCUGGAGGCUGCAGAGGUAACAGACAUAGCAUAAUUGUAUACUAUUGUUUUUGUACUUUAAUUAAUUGAUUGUGCUUCAUAUUUUCAAUGUUUUAUUGAGUUUGCUUCCUCUAAAUGUUGAGUAUGAAACACAUUUUAAAUGUGGUUGGUCACACUAAGAUUUUAGAUAGUGUGAUUCAUCAUAGUGAAUUAGGAUUCAUUGAAUUAGGAUUCAUCAUAAGACAGGGAUGAAUUGUAGGAUACUAACAACAACCAUGGUUUUAUUGGGUUUCAGACGUCGAUGAAUGUGUAAAAAAUUUACAUGAAUGCAAAAAUAGCACAAAUUGUAAAAACACAGCUGGGAAUUACACUUGUUUCUGUCCUGUGGGCCAAAUGGGAGAUGGGACAAAGGAAGGAGGGUGCCAACUACAUGAUGGAAAUGCAUUUGGAAUAGUACCUACUUUGUUCAGUAAGCAGAAAAACACAACUAAUUUUAUUCUAUUGACAUUUUCCUUUUCAAAUCUAAUGUGUUCAUCAAAUAUAUAUAUAUGUUACUGAUAUUAGUUUGGGGACAUUCCAAAAAUUGGGUGCAGGAGGAGUAGGAGCAGCAUUAGUACAUACUGCCCUUGGUAAGCAGCAAAACACGCCUAAUUUUGUUUUUCAAAUCUAAUGUGUUCAUUAAAUAUAUAUGUUACUGAUAUUAAUUUGGGGUACAUUCCAAAAAUUGGGUUCAAUAUAUUUUGGAUGCAGGAAUAGGAGCAACAUGUAUUGUUGUUUUUGUGGGGCAGAUGAUAAUCUCCAAAUUGAAAGAGAAAUUCUUUAGGCAGAAUCAAGGUUCUAUUUUGGAACAGAAACUACUUCAAAGAAAAGACUCGUCUAAAAUAGCUAAUAUUUUCAAGGAAAAUGAACUAAGGAAAGCCACUAACAACUAUGAUGAGAGCUUAAUCAUAGGUAGAGGAAGUUUUGGUACAGUUUUCAAAGGGGUACUAGAAGAUAACAGAAUUGUUGCUAUCAAAAAGUCCAAAACAAUAGAUCAAAGCCAAAUUGAUCAAUUCAUUAAUGAGGUGGAUGUUGUGUCCCAAAUAAAUCACAGGAAUGUGGUUAAACUCUUGGGGUGUUGUCUAGAAACAGAAGUUCCUUUGUUGGUUUAUGAAUUUGUUAGCAACGGUACUCUUUCUGAUUUUAUACACAAAAAUAAAGCGAAUAAUCCAACUUGGGAAAUUCGUCUUAAGAUAGCAACAGAGGUAGCUGGAGCUUUGUCAUAUCUACAUUCAGCUGCUUCGAUGCCCAUUAUCCACAGAGAUGUCAAGAGUGCUAACAUUCUCUUAGAUGGAACCAACACUGCCAAAGUAUCUGAUUUUGGAGCUUCAAAAUUAGUACCACUUGACCAAUCUGAAAUAUCCACAAAGGUGCAAGGAACUAUUGGCUACUUAGAUCCAGAAUAUAUGCAAACAAGCCAAUUGACUGAAAAAAGUGAUGUAUAUAGCUUUGGGGUAGUUGUUGUGGAGCUUCUAACAGGGGAGAGACCUUUUAGUAUUGCUAGGCCAGAAGAGACAAGAAAUCUUGCUAAGCAUUUUCUUUCCUGCUUGAAAAAGGAUAAUGUGUUUGAAAUUAUUCAAGAUGGUAUGUUGAAUGAAGAAAACAAACAAGAGAUCAAGGAGGUAGCUGUUCUUGCGGCAAAGUGUUUGAGACUAAAAGGGGAGAAAAGACCAAGCAUGAAGGAAGUGGCUAUGGAAUUGGAGGGAAUGAGGUUAAUGGAGAAGCACUCUUCGACCAACGAAGACCUAAAUGAAUCAUUAUCUAACAUUUAUGAACUUGGUGAGAGCAGCAAGCAUGGAGAUAUUGGAGGAUAGAAGAUGAUUGGGAUGUGAAAAAAUGCAGUUCCAUUUCGUUGUUUUAGAAGUUUUUUCAUGCAUAUUUUAUUUUAUAUGAUAAUCCAAAUCAUUUUGUAAUUGUAAUGUAAUUUGUUUAUAUAACUAAUGUAUUGUGUGCAUGGCUAUCCUGUUUUUUAAUUUUGUGGUUUUUAGUGUGGUGUGUAUUCCUUAUUUCUUGUUUUCAUAGGUUUUGUUGGACCUGUGUACUCCUUAUCUCUUUGGCCCUAGAAUAAUAUCCUGUUGUUUUGGAUAGUAGUUUUUUAGUGGCUUUGAGUGUUUGUAAUCCUUCUAGCAUUCCUUUUAACUUCUUCUCUGGGGCUUCGCCUCCUAGCUGUUAACUAAGAUUUAUAUAUUAUGAUGUAAAGGUAGAGAUGGAAGUGUUCUAUUGUAAAGAAUAGUUGUUUUCAAGUACAUCAAUUUUAAGGACCUUUUAGACCGAUAUAAUUAACAGGUUUUCGGUCGAUUGAACCCUAGACGGACCUCUUGCAUAUAACUCCUUCGGUAUCCCAACCCAAACUAUUGGACUACUCUUUUGGGGUAAAGUUUCUAGUCCAAUUGCUAAAUUUGGUUAGUUUGGUUUUGAUUGUACAAAUUGAGAAGAGAUUUGAAUUCACAGAUUGUGAUCUCGUAUUUCACAUGAGUAAAAAUAGGUGUUAUGAUCUCAUAUUUCACGAGUUGUUUCCUAAAAAAAAAAAUGUCGUGAGAGAUCCAAAUAUUUCACAAUAUCAGCAAAGCAAAGAUACUCACUUCAGCCACUAAGGCUGUUAGGAUUUUCGAAGCAUUGUUUUGAAAUCACCUUGGUAAUCAAGUCAUGGUGAUAGAAUAAUCAAGGAAGAAAAAGCAAAAUAAAUAACAUGUAAUUUAGCAAAGAAGAAAUGUUCUUAUAAGAAUACCACUCUUUAAAUUCUAUGGCCAAAGAAUGAUCAUACAAUAAUAAUUACCUUAGAAGAAUGAUAAUUAUGAUGCAUCAUUGAAAUACUUCCUGUCAUAAAUCCUUCAAAAAGCUUGAACAUGGGAUUCCAGUCAUUUAUGAUAAAUAUCGUUGACUAACCGGACUAAGAGUCAUGUAGUAAAGAAGUCCAAUCCCAAUUGGAUCUGGAUUACCUGCAGUAACGCGGUAAAAGAUCACAAUCACUGAUUUUAAAUCGGACGGUACAGAUCACACAUCAGUAAAGUUAUGUAAAAGUGAUCUCAGACGGUCCCGAUAUGUUACAGCGUCCUGCUGUAUUAGUGGGAAACCCAAAUCCCAAUCAUGAAAUAUUUUUGCCUAAAUUGCACAUUUGACCCCUUAAUUUAUUUUGUGGUUUCACUUUGGUCCAUAACUAUGUUUUGUUCCCUUUUUUUUCCAUUUCUUCAAUUAAAAUUGAAUAAACCAUCAAUUUAGUCCAUAAAUUGUCACUCUCUCUCUCUCCAAUUUAGUCCUUAAACUAUUUAAAUAUAAUAAAUCGUCCAUAAACUAUAUGAAAUUUGUCAAUUUAGUCCCCAAAGUAUAUUAAAAAAGCGGUCAACUCAGUCCCUCACAUCACAUCUUCAUAGAAAAGACUAAAUUGACGGAUUUUAUAUAGUUUACGGACUACUUAUCAUAUAUUUACAUAGUUUAUGGCCUAAAUUGAUGGUUUUAGGGGACCGAAACGGAACAAAAAAUAAGUUAUAAGCUAAAUAAGCUAUGAAUAUCUAGGAAAUUAUUCUUCAGCACAAGUUGCAGAGUGUCAAUGCAGCUCCCUAAACAGGUAUGAUAUGAAUGAUCAGUGUGAAAUGUGAAUAAGCUAGUAAUUAUAAAAGCAAUAUAAAACUGGAUGAUCUAGUAGAAUAAAUCAAUAAUUUGAAUGGAUGCAUUUAUGAUUGAAAUUGAGAGUGGAUGUGUAUGUAACCCUAACCUGCUUCAGUGGAGUGAUACGCAAAUUAUGCAACAUCGAGAGAUACAUGAAGGAUGAAAUCUUCAACUGAGAAGCAAAUCGGUGAUUGCUUUGGAUAAAUUUCAAAGAUCGUGAAAAAACCGAUUAAGAAAAGCGAUGAACAAGAGCGAAAAUGUGCGGGAACGUUCUUUUACAUAGGGGGGUCGAUAUCGAUGGAUGGAAUGAAUUUGGAUUUGGA